AAUUCGUAAAAUAUUGGAUAAAAAAAAAGCGCGAAAAACAACAACAAAUAUCAGGGGGGGAGACAAAGAGUAAUACGUGUGAAAAUGGAGAGAAAGAUCAAAAAUUAGACCCGAAAGCC
rnacentral:sRNA from 16 species